AGCUUUGUGGCCUCAAUAUGUGAUGAAGUACUUCUCCUGCCUCUUGUGGUUUUCCUGUGACCAACUGCUACAAAAUGAUUCAUCCCCUUCUGUGUCGUCAGAAACGUCAGAAUCUUCUUCUCAACAGAUGCCUUUGGUGUGCUGUCCUAAUGUUGUCCUUCCAUGUAAUUCAAGUACAAGGUCAGUCUCUGAUCUACUGUCUUUAUUGCUGAGUUGUGUCGUCACUGUAUGUUAUUCCAUGAUUAGUCUAUGAUUGGAUUGGGUAAUGUAUAACUGCUUAAAUGGGGAAAAAGACAAAAAAAAAAAAAGACACAGGUAUAUUAUGUGACAUAACAUCUAAGCAUUCAGUAUAACAUGUCUUGGUUUGAAACUGGCAAUGAAACAGCAGUGAUCACAGAAUUUGUUUUGUCAGAAUUUUUGCCUGCUGAUUUCACAUCAGAGUUCAUCUGCCAAAGUGUCAUGGUCUGGGUGAGUGAGAUGUUUUUUCAUAGAGCUGGGGCUCCACCUCCGGAUGGAGUCUCCAUUCAGCAGUCUCACCUGUCUGCAAUCAAGCUACCAGUAUUUAAGACCAGCACAUUCAACAAGUCUUCUCCAGAUCUACAGCUAACCAGUGUUAGUGUUAGGCUACAUUGAAAGUAGUAUUCUCACUUAACCUGUGUCUCUCUGUUCUAGUAACCCACCAGGUCACCAUGCUUCACUCUUGAGCAAUACUUACCUUCAUUAGGACGUCGGUCUUGCUGCAAUCACCCAGUCUGGUUACCCUCCAUUCCUCUCUACACAUCACCUGCCUUCCUUCCUGUCACGGCUUCUGGAACUCAUUUGGAUCUGGACUUUGACUCACCCCGGAUUGGAAACUCACCCGGACCUUUUUGGACUGCCCUCCUUCCACAUCGUUCUCCGCCUGCAACAAUCACUCUGCACUGCUUCACCCGAGCCACAGCCCCUCCUCCCCUUGGCCCUGUUCAUGGACUUUAGAAUUAACUUUAACUCAAAGAUUAAGCUUCGCGUUUUGACUUUUUAGGUUGUCUCGUAAGUUCUCAGUUCAUAGUCGACACCCUAAGGUUUAGUCUCACUUUGUAAAUAAAGCACUGU